GCCCGGGUAGCUCAAUCGGUAGAGCGUGUGGCUCUUAUAAUCAGGAUAUGCCUUCACAGGUGUUCCUGUCACUAGAAAACAAAACCUCAAGGUCGUGGGUUCGAGCCCCACCUCGGGCU